UGGCUCAGUGGUUAAGAGCACUGACUGUUCUUUCAGAAGACCUGGGUUCAAUUCCCAG
rnacentral:tRNA from 1 species